rnacentral:rRNA from 1 species
GACGAACGCUGGCGGCGUGCUUAACACAUGCAAGUGGAGCGACGAACCAGGGCUUGCCCUGGGGCAGAGCCGCGAACGGGUGAGUAACACGUGGGUAACGUGCCCCGAUGACUGGGACAACCCGAGGAAACUCGGGCUAAUACCGGAUAUGCCCCCUGACAUCUGUCAGGUGUGUAAAGGAAGCUUCGGCCUCCGCAUCGGGAUCGGCCCGCGGCGCAUUAGCUUGUUGGUGGGGUAACGGCCUACCAAGGCAACGAUGCGUAGCUGGUCUGUGAGGACGAUCAGCCACACUGGGACUGAGACACGGCCCAGACUCCUACGGGAGGCAGCAGUGGGGAAUCUUGCACAAUGCGCGAAAGCGUGAUGCAGCAACGCCGCGUGCGGGAAGACGGCCUUCGGGUUGUAAACCGCUUUCAGUUGGGACGAAGCGAAAGUGACGGUACCUGCAGAAGAAGCACCGGCCAACUACGUGCCAGCAGCCGCAGUAAUAC